rnacentral:lncRNA from 1 species
UUAGGGAUUAUACCAAUUACGGGAUCAAAUAGCAAAAUAAUUCAAUAAAAUAUUAACUUACGCGUUAACUUUACGUUAAUGAAAUACAGUCAAACCUGUCAGUAACGGCCACUAAAAUGAAAGAACUAUUGGCCGAUAUAGAAAGGUGGCCGUUAUUGCCAGUUUUUGUAGUCUAGAUAUACAGUAAAACUUGUGUUACUGGCCACCUGAUAAAAUCGGCCACCUGUACUAACGGCCGGUUUAAAUAUUCCCCAAACCAAUUAUAUCUGGACUACAAAAACUGGCAAUACCGGUCACCUUUCUAUAUCGGCCAAUAGCUUUUUCAUUUUUAGUGGCCGUUACUGACAGGUUUUACUGUAAUUGGUUUGGGGAAUUUUUAAACUGACCGUUAGUACAGGUGGCCGGUGUUUGCAGGGGGCCGGUAACACAGGUUUUACUGUAGUUUAAAUCGAAAAGAUUAAAUCUUAAUUCAAAAUUGUAUAUACAAUUAUUACAAUUAUAAACAAACUAUAUAGUUUAAUAUCCAAAACAUGUUUUUGAUUUUAUGUAAUUUAAUGAAAAUCUUAUUUGUAAAUUAUUGGUUACAAUGUUUAACAAUAGGAAAUAUUCAAGAAUAAAUAAAAUAAAAGUUUAAUCCUAACAACACAAAACAUUCCAGGAAUAUAGGUACUACCGUUCUAUUCCGUGAACAUCUAUCUGAUUAAAUUAUGGGUGGAAAGUUACCACAAGAUAUUCUAUGAACAUAGUACAAUGUCUUCCUGGAGGGGUAAAAUUUUCCAUUACAAGAUUUUAAGAGAGGCCAUUUACUGUUCAAUUUGCGUUCAUUUUCAAAUUUGCCGCGCGAGUAUCUAUGUAGCGUCGCGUGGUCAUUGGUCAUCACUUAGACAAGGAAAGAGAGGGUCAUCACAUUUCAUUUUCAUAAGAUAACGGAUAACCUAAAAAUUUAGUAAAAAUUUUGAUUGGAAAAAAAUGCAUCGAUAAGGGGGUGUGGGAAAUGGAAAUUAGUGGCUUUUCUGCUGUACUGUCUGCUAGUCAAAUCACACAACACUUUUUUCUAUGCUGCUAGUUUUUGCUCUGGGCUCUGGCUGGAUCUCUUGUUUAAACAAUUUUAAUCAGCUGAAAGUGGCCUACAAAAAAAAAACCAAGAAGGAAAUGUAUAGCCUUGUGGCUAUGAAAGGCAAAAGAGAGAUAUAAAAAGUGUAUUGGCUAGUUGGAAGAAAGUCCACAUUGUCCAUGCAUAAUAAGUUAUUACUUUAUCAACAAAUAUCAAGAAGAUAGCAGGGUCAUGAGCAACAACUUCAUAAGUUCAAGAAUAUCGAGGAAAUCCAGCUCCUCGAUACUACUGGGCAAACUAGAAGAUUGAAGAGGACAAAGCCUUUUGAACUAGUUUGAGUGAUAGGUGAUAGUGAAAAACGGAGCAUAGUGCUUGUGUGCUGUGCCUGUGUAUGUUAGAAUAGUGCACGAUCUUGUUAGAUUAGAUAAGAGACGCUAUGGGGUAAGCUCUUCAUUUUAAGAAACAGUAGUAAUUUAGGUUAAAUUAAAAUUGCUCAUUGGUCAGUUAUGACCAGAUUGUUUUUUUAUGUUUGGCAAAAAGGACUUAAGUCAGAAUUGCACAUUGAUAAUGUUUUGAUGAUUUCUGGACCAGAAAAAAACUGUUGUAGAUGUAAACUGUAUGUACAGUAGAAUCUACUACAGUACUGUAGAAAUUAUCAAAACAUUAUCGAUGUGCAAUUCUGACUUAAGCCCUUUUUCCCAAACAUCAGAGAAUUGUAAUGUACAAUAAUUCUCCUAUCUGCUUUUUCAUGAAUUUUGUAGGAGAUGAAAAACCAUUUUUAGGAUCAUCUGCUUUCACAUGUAAAUUUUGACAUUUUUUGUAGUAAAUAGAUAGUUGAAUUUACUACAAAACAUGUCAAAAAAUAUAUGAAAACAGGAGGUGACUAUAAAAAAAGUCUUUAGUCUCUUACAAAACUCAUGAAAAAACAAAUCGGAGGUAUGUCACAUCAGUGACUAUAUCCAGGGAAUGUCUAAAAAAUAUACUUUGAUGUCCCAAGAACCAAAUAUAACCUACAGUCCAUCUAAUUUACUUACUGUUGCAGGUCAUUAUCUACGCCAGAGAUCUAAGUUGACAUAGUUGCCAAAGUAUAAAAAGAUCCUGAAUCCAUUUUAAAUCAAAUAUAUCACAUAAUUAUUGUAAACGUGGAUUAUACAACAAAACAAAUUAAUAUUCAAUGUAAAUAAGUAAAAACUUAAGAAAUAGAGAUCAAGAAUUAAGUUAUAAUCUUUUAAGAUUUGCAGUGCAAGAGUUUUUGCACUGCAUUGUUAAUAAUUAAAAAACGGCUCCGAACUCUUGGCAAAAAGCUGGUAGGUUUCUUUGUAUAAGUUUGUCUACAAUAACAACUAAAAAAGUUGUCAGAUACCUCGAUUAUUCCAAGUCGUUAUAAAAUUAGGUGAAAUUUAUAUUUUUAUAAUAGAGGAUCUUUUUAUAGUAAAGUAAAUAAUAAAAACAGUAAAUAUAAUAAAUAAAACAGAUACUUAUAGUAAAGAAUAUAAACAAAUAUGAAGUGUCAUCACCGUAACUAUCAAAUAAAUGUUACCAAUUUAUUCUAAAAUGUCACCUUCGUUCGAUUACAGUUACAGUGUGAUCCGAACAAAUCUGCUUCAUAAAAACGCUUUAUAAUCCAUUUAUACAAAUUAAAUGAAACAUAUUAUUGUGUAUUUCUUUAGGUUAACAUUAAUAGAAAUCUUCAAAUAUUAUUUCUACGCGUAUAUAAUAAAAUAUGUCUAGUGGCUGUAAUUCCAUUGUACUCGGCAAA